rnacentral:lncRNA from 1 species
CAGAGCUUUAGAGAGACAACAAUGAUCCAUUGUCACAUCACAGUUUCAAGGGCACAGCUAUGAAUCUAAACGGUUCGGAGUUUGACCAUAAAGCUCAUCCCAGUGUGUAGGGGAGGAUCUCACAUCCUUUAUAGCUCCCUAGUAUCUUUCCUAAGAGAGAUGUGGAAACGAGCAAGGGAUGUCCUUGGCAACCCAUCCCAGAACUGAAGAAUCUUCAUUUCCAAGAAGUCCUUCUCCACAGUCAACUGGAAUCUCUCGGUCUUUCUGUUCAAAGAUUUACAUAUCACCACCAAACGGCUCCAGAAUUUCUACAGCAGAAAAGGAGACUUCAUCCUCCUGGCUUUCAGGAAUUCCAAGCUGCUUCCUUCCCUAG